rnacentral:rRNA from 1 species
GACGAACCGUGCGAACGUAUUCGGAAUCACUGGGCUUAAAAGCGCGUGUAGGCGGGGUGGGAACGUCGGCCGCUGAAAUCCCCCCGGCUCAACCGGGGGAAGUGGCGCCGAAACGGCCCGCCUGGAGGAACGUAGGGGGAGCUGGAACUUCCGGUGGAGCGGUGAAAUGCGUUGAGAUCGGAAGGAACGCCCGUGGCGAAAGCGAGCUCCUGGACGUUUUCUGACGCUGAGACGCGAAAAGCCAGGGGAGCGAACGGG